rnacentral:piRNA from 1 species
UUGAUCCUCGCAUCUCAUUGGUC